CGGGGAGCUUGCGCUCCUGGAUGUUGGCGGCGGACGGGUGAGUAACACGUGGGUAACCUGCCUGUAAGACUGGGAUAACUCCGGGAAACCGGGGCUAAUACCGGAUGCUUGUUUGAACCGCAUGGUUCAAACAUAAAAGGUGGCUUCGGCUACCACUUACAGAUGGACCCGCGGCGCAUUAGCUAGUUGGUGAGGUAAUGGCUCACCAAGGCGACGAUGCGUAGCCGACCUGAGAGGGUGAUCGGCCACACUGGGACUGAGACACGGCCCAGACUCCUACGGGAGGCAGCAGUAGGGAAUCUUCCGCAAUGGACGAAAGUCUGACGGAGCAACGCCGCGUGAGUGAUGAAGGUUUUCGGAUCGUAAAGCUCUGUUGUUAGGGAAGAACAAGUACCGUUCGAAUAGGGCGGUACCUUGACGGUACCUAACCAGAAAGCCACGGCUAACUACGUGCCAGCAGCCGCGGUAAUACGUAGGUGGCAAGCGUUGUCCGGAAUUAUUGGGCGUAAAGGGCUCGCAGGCGGUUUCUUAAGUCUGAUGUGAAAGCCCCCGGCUCAACCGGGGAGGGUCAUUGGAAACUGGGGAACUUGAGUGCAGAAGAGGAGAGUGGAAUUCCACGUGUAGCGGUGAAAUGCGUAGAGAUGUGGAGGAACACCAGUGGCGAAGGCGACUCUCUGGUCUGUAACUGACGCUGAGGAGCGAAAGCGUGGGGAGCGAAUAGGAUUACAUACCCAGGUAGUCCACGCCCUAAACGAUGAGUGCUAAGUGUUAGGGGGUUUCCGCCCCUUACUGCUGCAGCUAACGCAUUAAGCACUUCUCCCUGUAAUUACUGUUGCAAAACUGAAACUCAAGGGAAUUGGACGGGCCGCGCACAAGCGGGUGGAACUAUGUGGGUUCUAAUUCCGAAGCCAACGGCGAAAGAAACCUUUACCCAGGGCCUUGAAAGUCCUUCUUGACCAUUCCCUAAAAACAUAGGGACGGGCCCCCCUUUCGGG
rnacentral:rRNA from 1 species